ensembl:snoRNA small nucleolar RNA SNORA35
CUGCACUGUUGAGCGACUGGACUUCCUGUGCUGUAGUUGUCCAAUCUCAAACCAGUGCCAGAUUGACCUCAGUUUGCAGAAGGUUGAGACCAGUGGCUCCCACCUUUCGAAGGCUGAGAACAAAC